UACGGAGGGUGCAAGCGUUAUCCGGAUUCACUGGGUUUAAAGGGUGCGUAGGCGGGUAAGUAAGUCCGUGGUGAAAUCUCUGAGCUUAACUCAGAAACUGCCGUGGGUACUAUUUGCCUUGAAUAUUGUGGAGGUGAGCGGAAUAUGUCAUGUAGCGGUGAAAUGCUUAGAUAUGACAUAGAACACCAAUUGCGAAGGCAGCUCACUACACAAUCAUUGACGCUGAGGCACGAAAGCGUGGGGAGCGAACAGG
rnacentral:rRNA from 1 species